AGUCACCAGCUCAACCAGGGAAGGAAACGCACCACCCUGCUAGCCCUGCUUCAGCCUUGGGUGAGGCUGUGAAGGCUGGUGGUAAGCCGAUGAAAGAUAAUCCAAAGAAAUGAAAGUGAGGGUGAUGAGUAGGAGAGCGGUUUGGGGCUGAGGGUACGAAGAUGCCAUGAUGACUGACUUAACCACAUCAAACUAAACCAUGUCUCCUACUACAAUUCACCAGCCUGAAAUUGUGAGAGGAUCUCGGGCGCGGAGAUUUCGCUGGCUAAGGGGCACCCUGUGUGCCUACAAGAGGAGGUGGGAGGGAAGUUAACCUUGCGUUGUCCUCCAGGGCGCAAAUCCAAAAGUGGGAAAAAGGGGAAGUUCUUUGAUCUGAAGUAGAAAAAGUCGGGGAGAGAAGGAGAAACACCCAGAAUGGCAACAAAUUUGAUGAAAUCAGAGGGACAAAAAGAAGAGAAGGGUAUUAAGAUCAGAUCUUCUGAAGGGCAGAGAACUAUAAUGACACAGUUGCUUUAUUGCUGGACCCAGGACAGUUUAUACAGCAGUUCGGAAAGGCCUCUUGAGGGGUUAUCUGUGUCAGCCCAGCCUAGCAUCGAUAGAAACAUGAAUCUCUGGGAAAUUAUCUUGUGCCUCAGACUUCAAAGUACAUAGAGAUUUG
rnacentral:lncRNA from 1 species